rnacentral:sRNA from 1 species
UAAAUCUCAGGACAGAUAUUCGUUCGCAA